AGCAGCCGCGGUAAUUCCAGCUCCAAUAGCGUAUAUUAAAGUUGUUGCAGUUAAAAAGCUCGUAGUUGAAUUUCGGGAUCAAUGUUUCGGUCAUGCCGUUGGUAUGUACUGAUAUUAUUGAUUUCUCACCUUCUAAAGAACCGUAAUGCCAUUAAUUUGGUGUCACGGGGAAUUAGGACUGUUACCUUGAAAAAUUAGAGUGUUUAAAGCAGGCUCACGCUUGAAUACAUUAGCAUGGAAUAAUGAAAUAGGACGUUCGAUCUUAUUUUGUUAGUUUCUAGGAUUGACGUAAUGAUUAAUAGGGAUAGUUGGGGGCAUUAGUAUUCAAUUGUCAGAGGUGAAAUUCUUGGAUUUAUUGAAGACUAACUACUGCGAAAGCAUUUGCCAAGGAUGUUUUCAUUAAUCAAGAACGAAAGUUAGGGGAUCGAAGACGAUCAGAUACCGUCGUAG
rnacentral:rRNA from 1 species